GGAGUUCUCUGGCAGGCCAAGUGUGGUCAGCAGCCGUUUAGCCUCCGGUAGGUCUUGGACUGUGUGGAUCAUAUUGUCCUUUAGGACCUGUAGGGCUCUUGGCGUGCGCCAUCGAUAGGUGAUAUCAUUUUGUCUCAGGAGUGUCGUGACUGGUUGAAGGGAUCUGCGCCACUGCAUGGUAUCUCCAGACAAGUCUGAAAAGAAGGUAAGGUUGGCAUUUUCGAAGUUGAGCGGGGUCUUCCCCUGCAGGGCCUUAAGCAUGGCCGC